UGCAGGAAAUCCAGUAUGGGAU
rnacentral:misc_RNA from 1 species